UACCACGUUGAAUACGUUCCCGGGUCUUGUACACACCGCCCGUCACGUCACGGAAGUCGCCAACACCCGAAGUGCCUAUUUUCUAGGCCUAAGGUGGGGUGUAACUGGGAUG
rnacentral:rRNA from 1 species